CAUGUAUUUCCGAGAAACAAUAAUUAAAUACAUCUUUUUUUAUUUUUUAACUAAAAUACCAAGCAAAGCUCACAUAAAUCCUAUCUGCUUCGUUCACUGUUAGGUAAGCUUCGCGGAAUACGAUAUAGUAUCCUUGAUUUCAUCCUUGUACUGCACAGAAUUUUUGAUACUAUCGAGAAAACCUCAGGGAAGAGCGCUUUGCUGAGACAGCAGUGACAGCACGGAGAGGUCGAAACAAUCGAUUUCGAGAAAACGAGCGGUCACAUAUAACGUUAUAAUUUGUUCUGACAAGGAUGAUGUAAAUAUUGUGAUUAUUGUUCAUUUCUUCUCACGCUGGCUACAGCAUGUUUCAAAUGAGUGAUAACAUAUAUCUUGAUUGGAUAAUAUGUCCGCUGAGACAUACAUAGCGUACACAGCAGAUUAAUUAAAUUAAUCAAUAACAAAUAGAUGACUUUAUAUAUUCAUGGCAAUGCAUUGUACGAUUCGUGGGUUAUGAAAAAUGAGCGAUGAGAAUCCUUACAAAAAAUCAAACAGUUGGAUAAUUACCUCACUUUUUAUACAUAUAAAAUGUACAUACUUUAUUAUGACGACGUCAUUUUAAUCAUUAUUUAGAAAUUGAAAAUUUUGUAAAUUAUUACAUUAUUAUAAAUAUACUGCAUAGUUUCCUUGGCUGCUUUUAUGAAAUGUA